ACCUGGGUGGCUCAGUCGGUUGAGCGUCUGACUUUGGCUCAGGUUAUGAUCUCAUAGUUUGUGAGUUCGAGCCCCACAUCAGGCU
rnacentral:tRNA from 1 species